AUUGAACGCUGGCGGCAGGCCUAACACAUGCAAGUCGAACGGUAACAGGAAGCAGCUUGCUGCUUCGCUGACGAGUGGCGGACGGGUGAGUAAUGUCUGGGAAGCUGCCUGAUGGAGGGGGAUAACUACUGGAAACGGUAGCUAAUACCGCAUAAUGUCGCAAGACCAAAGAGGGGGACCUUCGGGCCUCUUGCCAUCGGAUGUGCCCAGAUGGGAUUAGCUUGUUGGUGGGGUAACGGCUCACCAAGGCGACGAUCCCUAGCUGGUCUGAGAGGAUGACCAGCCACACUGGGUCUGAGACACGGUCCAGACUCCUACGGGAGGCAGCAGUGGGGAAUAUUGCACAAUGGGCGCAAGCCUGAUGCAGCCAUGCCGCGUGUAUGAAGAAGGCCUUCGGGUUGUAAAGUACUUUCAGCGGGGAGGAAGGGAGUAAAGUUAAUACCUUUGCUCAUUGACGUUACCCGCAGAAGAAGCACCGGCUAACUCCGUG
rnacentral:rRNA from 1 species